GGGGAAUCUUCCGCAAUGGGCGAAAGCCUGACGGAGCAAGACCGCGUGAGGGAGGAAGGCUCUUGGGUUGUAAACCUCUUUUCUCAGGGAAGAACACAAUGACGGUACCUGAGGAAUCAGCCUCGGCUAACUCCGUGCCAGCAGCCGCGGUAAUACGGAGGAGGCAAGCGUUAUCCGGAAUUAUUGGGCGUAAAGCGUCCGCAGGUGGCUCGCUCAAGUCUGCUGUCAAAGACAGGGGCUUAACUCCGGAAAGGCAGUGGAAACUGACAAGCUAGAGGGCUCUAGGGGUAGAGGGAAUUCCCGGUGUAGCGGUGAAAUGCGUAGAGAUCGGGAAGAACAUCGGUGGCGAAAGCGCUCUACUGGAGAGCAACUGACACUCAGGGACGAAAGCUAGGGGAGCGAAAGGGAUUAGAUACCCCU
rnacentral:rRNA from 1 species